rnacentral:lncRNA from 1 species
CAUGUCCGGCGCCUACGAUUCCCGGCUCCGCUCGCUGGCGUUGGAACUCGCGGCCCAGGUGGCCCCGGAGCUUCGGGCCCGCGAAGGCGUCUACUGCGGCGUCGGCGGCCCCAGCUACGAGACCGUGGCCGAGUGCCGCUUCCUGAAGCUCGCCGGCGCUGACGCCGUCGGUGAGUAGCCCUGGCCCCCUCUAAUUAACCUGUAAUUAACCUGUACUUGCUGUAUAAUUAUCUGUUAAUUAACCUGUAAUUACCAUUUUGCCCAUGUGUAGUUAACAUGUAAUUACCCUGUGGUGUGUGUGCCCCUGUGGUGUAAUUACAAUGUAAUAAGCGCACAUAAGGCUAGUAAUUACCAUGUAAUUAGCAUAUAAUUACUGUGCAAUCAGCAAAUAGCAAGCACGCAAUUAGCAUGUAAUUAGUGUGUAAUGGACAGCUAGUUGCCAUGUAGUCGGUCUGCAGUGAGUCUCUAAUUAGGACAUAAUGCUUAAUUAAGGCUUAAGCAGUGUGUUCUUAGCGUGUAAUUAACGUGUGCUUAGCAUGUAGUUAGUGUGCAGCUAGGGAGUAAUUAGAAGGUAAUUAGCGUGUAAUUAGUACGUAAUUAAGCUGCGCUUAGCGUGUGGUCAGCGUGCGUUUAGGUGUGCGGCUUGCAGAGCUGGCGUGCAAGGUUGCCUGCGCUUUGCCUGUACUUUGCCUGCGCUUAGGAGACCCUUUGCCUGCACUUAGCGUGCGCUUUGCGUGCACUUUACACGCGCUUUGCCUGCACUUUGCCUGCACUUUGCCUGCGCCUUGCUUGCAGGUAGGAUCCCCUUUUGCCUGCGCUUUGCCUGUGCUUUGCCUGCACUUUGCCUGCACUUAGGAUCCCCUUUUGCCUGUGCUUUGCCUGCACUUAGGAGACCCUUUGCCUGCGCUUUGCCUGCGCUUUGCCUGCGCUUAGGAGACCCUUUUGCCUGCGCUUUGCCUGCACUUAGGAGACCCUUUGACUGCACUUAGCGUGCACUUUGUGUGCACUUUAUACAUGCUUUGCCUGCGCUUUGCCUUCGUUUUGCCUGCGCUUUGCCUGCACUUUGCCUGCGCUUUCUGUAUGCUUUGCAAGCACUUUACAUGCACUUUGUGUGGACUUUGCCCGCACUUUGCCCGCACUUUGCCUGCACUUUGCCUGCACUUUGCCUGCACUUAGGAUACGCUUUGUGUGCACUUUCCCUGCCCUUUGCACACGCUUUGCCUGCGUUUUGCCUGCACUUAGCAGACCCUUUGCCUGCGCUUUGCCUGCACUUUGCCUGCACUUAGGAUACCCUUUGCAUGCACUUAGCAGACUUUUUGCCUGCGCUUUGCCUGCACUUUGCCUGCACUUAGGAUACCCUUUGCCUGCACUUUGCACGCGCUUUGCACGCACUUUUUGUGCAUUUAGCCUGCACUUUGCCUGCACUUCACACGUGCUUUGCCUGCACUUCACACGCACUUUGCCUGCACUUUGUGUGCAGCUUGCACACGCUUUACACGCGCUUUGCCUGCACUUCGCACGCGCUUUGCCUGC